UACGAAGGGGGCUAGCGUUGCUCGGAAUCACUGGGCGUAAAGGGUGCGUAGGCGGGUCUUUUAAGUCAGGGGUGAAAUCCUGGAGCUCAACUCCAGAACUGCCUUUGAUACUGAAGAUCUUGAGUUCGGGAGAGGUGAGUGGAACUGCGAGUGUAGAGGUGAAAUUCGUAGAUAUUCGCAAGAACACCAGUGGCGAAGGCGGCUCACUGGCCCGAUACUGACGCUGAGGCACGAAAGCGUUGGGGAGCAAACAGGAUUAGA
rnacentral:rRNA from 1 species